CGGGCCGCCCAGGCGGCUGCGGGUGAGGGAAGGCCUUGCUCCAGCCAGGGCGAGCGGCGGGCGGAGGGCGGGCGCUCCUGAGCCUUUCCUCGCCGCCGCUGCGGGUUCUGUCGUAGGGGCUGAGUCGCGGCUCCGAAAUAGAACUAAGGAGAUAAAGAUUAGCUCGGGCAUGCUUAAAGAGCCCAGCGUUCCCUGUGAUACACUGCGUGGUCCGUUGCAUUGUUUGCAGCGGUAACGAGCAGGAGCUGCGAUUAGAGCAUCUGUGGGCUGGAGCAUCAGCCGCCCGCCUGGGCUGUGCUCCCGGCGGGACUGAAGAGCGGCCGGGCACAGGCAGGGCUGUCCCCAGCACGGAGCUCCAAGCCGUGAGGAGGCGGGUCGUCCUGCUGGCGGGGAGCCCGGCCCCUUCCCUCGGGGAUGAGACCCGCGCCAGGCGGCCUCUGUGCAGGCAAGGGUCACCUUCCGUGGCAUGGGAAGAAAAUCCUGAACAGCUGAUUCUGCUUGCUGCUCAGGCUCAAGAAAAUGGAGGUAGUUGUCUGUGUCUGUCACCUGCAUGUUCCUGGGAAAGUGGCUCCCGUGGAACUAAAGCUGCCAGUGAGUCAAAAAAAGGCAGGGCUGUCCAAAAAACGCAAAGGCUCUACUGGCCUUUAUCAACAGCUGUACCAAAGAUGGUGCCAAACAGUUUUUCCUCCACUCUAUAGGGUUUUUUUUCUCUCUUGGCAGAAUGUCGAACUGCCACUCUUCCUCUGCGGUUGCCCUUUAUUCUGUCACUUCAGCACAGGACAGAUGGAAAGGAUCUGGAGUGCUCUGCAAGCUUUGCCAUGAAGCAUCAGCAGCCUCGUAACUAGUGACGACGAGUCCUGAUGUGGCUUUUAUGGAGUGCUCUGAAGUACUUCAUUUCCAUCUGGCCUUCAGCGGUGCGUUUCCCUGGCAGCCCAGUAGCAUCUCUCUUGGGCAGUACAGCUGGCCAGAUGUCCCUCCUUGUUGUGUAGCUGUGGGUCCAUCAGCGUUGAUUCUGUUUUUCUAUUUUGCUGAACUAUAAUUGGGGAUUUUUGUUUUCCAGGUGUCUUGUUGUAUAUGUGUCGUGCUGCUCAAUAGAUGCCCCAGUUCAGGCUGGCAGCUGGUGGUGGAGCCGUCUGAGGGGAAGGGGCCAGCCCUGGGGGUCUGGUCCUUUUGUUCAUUUUUUGGGGUGAAUAAAAAAAAAAGUGUGUGUCUGGGUGGGUGAUGAUUGAUGAUGUCAUUUGGGGCACCUCAAAGUCACUGGGAGAGCGAUGAUGUGGCACAGAAGCAGGUGAGUGGGGGAUGUCGGGGUUACGUGGGGUUCCCCCCCAAAAGAGGGAGGUCACAGCCCCGAAAUAUCUGAAAAUUUGGGGUUGGGGGUGGUGGUUAAAAAAUGUUAAAACCUGUAAAUGUGGGUGUGAGGCACUGAAAUGGAGAACAAUCUCUUGUUUUCAUAUAUAUUGAAAAAUAAUAUGCGUUUAUGUGUGUAAAGGAGUUCAAAAUAAAAAUUUAUAUCACAGAA